rnacentral:pre_miRNA from 1 species
CAGAGCUAGAAGCUCAGGAGGCAACAUUCUCAGGGCAUCACCACCAUGGCUUGGUCUUUGCUUGUCCUCACCCUCCUCUCCCAAGGCACAGGUGA